UAUACAACGAAUUGAAGAAAAUGUUCCAUUUAACAUUUGUUAAAAAAAUCGAGGCAUUUUUGUUGGGGAUUGUAGGGAAAGACCUGCCAAAAAAGUUGAAAAACAUCUUCAUGUAUGUGACAACGGCCGCGAGAGUUCUGGUAGCACAAGGAUGGAAGACUGAAGAAACCCCAACUAAAGAAUCAUGGCAAGAAAAAUUGAUGGACUAUGCAGAACUGGCAAAACUGACAUAUAAGCUACGGGACAAGGAUAACUGUGACUUUAAGGAUGAAUGGGAACCCUUUACAAAGUAUCUGAAGAUGCAACAAAGCGAACUGGACUCCUUGGCAGGUUUUGCAUAAACUUUCACAAACUUUUUAUUGAUAAUAAUCAGCUAAAUAGUUUGAGGAUCUAUACAACUUUGUAACAUGCAGAAAACAGCAUUCUUAGAGAAACCAAAAACUGGAACUGAG
rnacentral:lncRNA from 1 species